rnacentral:rRNA from 1 species
AAUGAACGUUGGCGGCGUGGAUUAGGCAUGCAAGUCGUGCGAGAAGCGUUUUUUGCUUGCAUUGAACACGGACAGCGGCGAAAGGGAGAGUAACGCGUGGUUACGUGCCCCGAGGUCCAGGAUAGCGUUGGGAAACCGGCAGUAAUACUGGAUGAUAUCUUCGGAUCAAAGGUGUGAUUCCGCCUUGGGAUCGGACCGCGUACUAUUAGCUUGUUGGUGGGGUAAUGGCCUACCAAGGCUGCGAUGGUUACCGGGUGUGAGAGCAUGGCCCGGCUCACUGGGACUGAGACACUGCCCAGACACCUACGGGUGGCUGCAGUCGAGAAUCUUCGGCAAUGGACGAAAGUCUGACCGAGCGACGCCGCGUGCGGGAUGAAGGCCCUCGGGUUGUAAACCGCUGUCAGUUGGGAGGAAAGGAGUGUGAAGAGCAUUCCUUGACCGAUCUUCAGAGGAAGGACGGGCUAAGUUCGUGCCAGCAGCCGCGGUAA